rnacentral:rRNA from 1 species
GCGACAGGCUUAACACAUGCAAGUCGAGGGGUAACAUAGGAAGCUUGCUUUCUGAUGACGACCGGCGCACGGGUGCGUAACGCGUAUACAAUCUACCUAUUACAGGGGGAUAGCCCAGAGAAAUUUGGAUUAACACCCCAUAGUAUUAUAGAGUGGCAUCAUUUUAUAAUUAAAACUACGGUGGUAAUAGAUGAGUAUGCGUCCUAUUAGUUAGUUGGUAAGGUAACGGCUUACCAAGGCAUCGAUAGGUAGGGGUCCUGAGAGGGAGAUCCCCCACACUGGUACUGAGACACGGACCAGACUCCUACGGGAGGCAGCAGUGAGGAAUAUUGGGCAAUGGACGAGAGUCUGACCCAGCCAUGUCGCGUGCAGGAAGACGGCUUUAUGAGUUGUAAACUGCUUUUAUAUAGGAAGAAACCCACCGACGUGUUGGAGGCUGACGGUACUAUACGAAUAAAGACCGGCUAACUCCGUGCCAGCAGCCGCGGUAAUACGGAGGGUCUAAGCGUUAUCCGGAAUCAUUGGGUUUAAAGGGUCCGUAGGCGGGCUAAUAAGUCAGAGGUGAAAUCCCACAGCUUAACUGUGGCACUGCCUUUGAUACUGUUAGUCUUGAGUCAUAAUGAGGUAGAUGGAAUGUGUAGUGUAGCGGUGAAAUGCAUAGAUAUUACACAGAACACCGAUUGCGAAGGCAGUCUACUAAUUAUGUACUGACGCUGAGGGACGAAAGCGUGGGUAGCGAACAGGAUUAGAUACCCUGGUAGUCCACGCCGUAAACGAUGGAUACUAGCUGUUGGUUUGAC